rnacentral:lncRNA from 1 species
AUGAUGCUCUGUUUUGGUCGAGCACCGUCAGCACUGCCCCCCCUGUAUUAUGUUGAAUUGAUCCACGGGUAGCGCUAACUCCCUAUGCGUUACUAAUGGUGUUCAAUAUUAUUAUGUUGGGAAAAUAUAGUACCAAUGUUGGGCCUUGCGAGAAGAGUUUUAUCCCAAAACAAAAAUCAAGGGGGUCCCCAUAACAACCCCAAGCAUGUUAGGAGUGCUCAAUUAUGGAACAUAACACCGGUACACAAGUAACUAGGGCGGCAAAGAUGGAACAAAACACCAGGCUAGAAGGCCAAGCAUUCCACCUUUUACCAAGUAUAUAGGUGCAUUAAUUAAAUAGCAAUUAUAUGGUGAUAUAACAAGGAACCCAUGUUUUCACAUGGAAGUAACUGCACCUGCAACUAGAAACGUUAUAAGAAGGCUGAGCAAGCGACAACAUAGCUAAACUGAGGUUUGCUGGGAUGUGGAGGGGUUAGAGGCUUUUCAUGGCAAUGUUGGGAGGCUCCCAUUUAAGUGGUAGGCAACGAGACAUAACGGAAGAAACGAGAUAACUAGCAUGACAAUAAUAGUAGUGGUACAUAGGGAAAUGAUCAUCUUGCGUGUGAUCCCGCUUGGAAGAAGAACGAAUCCGUGAAGUAGACGAACCGACAUAGUCAAACGAUUCCUCACACUCCAAAGUUGUUCGGAACUCUAUUGAGAAGAAACAAUCCGGAAUAACAAUCAACACACGAUAACACCACACAUAUUCAUGACAAGAUGCACAGUCAAAUAUGAUGC